rnacentral:rRNA from 1 species
AGCUGACUGUACCAGAAGUCGCUGAGCUAACCCCUGAGCUUGUCGAAGGGGACGCACGCGCCUAAGGUAUGGUUGGUGAUUGGGGUG